GCCCCCUUCCCCCUGCAGCCUCAGGAUGCCAGUGGCUUCCCCCGUCUCCCGGGUGAGAUGUCCUUGGAUUCUCAGGAGUUGCAGAUACGGUGCAUGGAGUCCUUGUGAACCCUUCUCCCAGCUUCCCCCAGCGGUCAUACCUUAUGUAACUACAGCACCGCUUCAGACCAGGAGCAUGACACUGGUAAGGGACAUUUGUGCUGUGGAUGGAGCUGUCAGGAGCCUGGUGGACAAAACAUCAUGACAAAAUGAAAGGGAAAGAUGGACUUCAAACAGCAGUCUGGAGAAAAAUUGAAUUCAACAACACUAUUUAAGAUUGCAUGCAUAGAGAGUUCCGGUCAAGAUGGUGGAGUAGACAGUUCCUAGUGUUGCUCUCUCCCACAAAGCGACCAACUUGCAACUAUUAAAAAGCAACAACAGGAGACAUGAGAUCAGUGCCAAAAUAGGCGGGAGCGGCAUGCCACAGGACCCCAUCCCAGGCCAGUGUUUGCCACCCAGAGAGGCCUGAGAGCCAUGGGGGCCACACACCCUGAGA